CGGGUCGGACGAACCUCUGGUGUGUCGGUUGUUCCGCCAGGAGCACCGCCGAUUAGCUACGUUCGGAAGGGAUAACCGCUGAAAGCAUCUAAGCGGGAAGCUCGCUUCAAGAUUAGGUUUCUCAUUGGUUUACCAAGUAAGGCCCCCAGCUAGACUACUGGGUUGAUAGGGUGGAAGUGGAAGAGCCGCAAGGCUUGGAGCUGACCACUACUAAUAGGCCGAGGAUUUAACUACAA
rnacentral:rRNA from 1 species